GGGGAUAUAGCUCAGUGGUAGAGCACUUGCCUAGCAAGCACAAGGCCCUGGGUUCGGUUCCCAGCUCUG
rnacentral:tRNA from 1 species